rnacentral:rRNA from 1 species
UACGUAGGGUGCGAGCGUUAAUCGGAAUUACUGGGCGUAAAGCGUGCGCAGGCGGCUUCUCAAGUCAGGGGUGAAAGCCCAGAGCUCAACUCUGGAAUUGCCUUUGAGACUGAGUGGCUUGAGUACGAGAGAGGUGAGUGGAAUUCCCAGUGUAGAGGUGAAAUUCGUAGAUAUUGGGAAGAACACCGAUGGCGAAGGCAGCCCCCUGGGCUAGCACUGACGCUCAGGCACGAAAGCGUGGGGAGCAAACAGGG